UUUUUUUUUUUUUUUUCUAAUUUUUGGUUGGUGGCGGCGGUGCUGGGCCAGGGGAAGGAAGGGACACGGAGGCCGCCCUCGCCCCGCCACCUCCUACCAGCUUCCCCCCAGCCCCGGCUCCGGGAGAUGUGCCGGGCGGGGGGCCCGGGUUCGCCGAGCCGCAGGAGAGACACGCUGGGCCGACCCCAGAGCGGCGCUGGACAGAGCCAACACAGAUCUAUAGAUUUCUUUGAACUCGGAAUCUCAUAGCACCAAUAUUUUUGCACAGAACUCUUACUUACAUGUCUCAUCGAAACUCCAGAACAAACAUCAAAAGGAAAACAUUUAAAGUUGAUGAUAUGUUAUCAAAAGUAGAGAAAAUGAAAGGAGAGCAAGAAUCUCAUAGCUUGUCAGCUCAUUUGCAGCUUACAUUUUUGGUUUCUUCCACAAAAAUGAUAAGCCAUCACCAAACUCAGAAAAUGAACAAAAUUCUGUUACCCUGGAAGUCCUGCUUGUGAAAGUUUGCCACAAAAAAAGAAAGGAUGUAUGUUGUCCAAUAAGGCAAGUUCCCACAGGUAAAAAGC
rnacentral:lncRNA from 1 species